UCUACGGGAGGCAGCAGUGGGGGAUAUUGGACAAUGGGGGGAACCCUGAUCCAGCGACGCCGCGUGAGUGAAGAAGUAUUUCGGUAUGUAAAGCUCUGUCAGCAGGGAAGAAAGAAAUGACGGUACCUGACCAAGAAGCCCCGGCUAACUACGUGCCAGCAGCCGCGGUAAUACGUAGGGGGCAAGCGUUAUCCGGAAUUACUGGGUGUAAAGGGAGCGUAGACGGUUAAGUAAGUCUGGAGUGAAAGGCCGGGGCUCAACCCCGGGACUGCUCUGGAAACUAUUUAACUUGAGUGCAGGAGAGGUAAGCGGAAUUCCUGGUGUAGCGGUGAAAUGCGUAGAUAUUAGGAGGAACACCAGUGGCGAAGGCGGCUUACUGGACUGUAACUGACGUUGAGGCUCGAAAGCGUGGGGAGCAAACAGGAUUAGAUACCCGAGUAGUC
rnacentral:rRNA from 1 species